CUACAACUAACAAAACGAAAGCCAUACAAUUCCGAAGCCCCAACCACGGAAUCCUAUGGAAUUGGGCCCUCCGCGGCGCCGCUCCUUGUCUCCCCCACUGGCGGCUGCAGGGUGCAGUCCUCAAGUUGCGCAGGUGUCUGAGUGUCUCGUAGCCAGGCAACACAAGCAAGGUGUAAAACCAUCAGCGCAAUAGAUCCAGUACCAUGAACGCGAGUAAUGGGAAGAAGAAGUAUAGGGGCUAUCUUACUUGGACAGACGAUAUGGAUCAGGCGCUCCUGGAUGUUCUUGUUGAGCAUCACAACAAUGGUGAUCACACACAGACCGGAUGGAAGCCACAUGUGUACACUGCAGCAGUGAGAAAUGUGCGAGAGAAGUGCAACGUGGACAUCACAAAGGAUCAUGUGAUGUCAAGAUGCAAGACUUUUGACAAGCACUGCAAUAUCGUUGGCAGGAUACUCGCCCACGAUGGAUUUGAGUGGGAUCGAGACAGGGACAAGCUCGUGAUUCAGAAUGAGGAUGCUUGGAGCAGAUACAUAGAGAAAAACAAAUUAGCGGCUUGCUAUCAACAUAAAGUUAUCAAGAACUGGGACUCAAUAAGCCUAAUUUUCUCCAGAGAUCAUACUGCCACAAGUGAAGAUGUUAGCACAGGUGCUGAGAAUGGCCAAGAGAUGGCAAUGAAGGGUGAUGAAUAUGUUCACGAGAUUACUCCAAGUUCACCUUCAACAUCUGAACCUAUCAGUCAAGAUUGUCGUGGACCACCCACAUUGACUCAACCGAACCAACGAGGCAGGAGGAAGAGGCUUAGAACAAAUGAUGCACUCUUUUGUAUGUCUGGUGAAAUCAAGAAUUCAUUCAAAAUAUCUAUCAAGUCAAAUGAGCCUCCGGAGGAGCCAAAGAAUGCGUCUCCUAAGGAAAUCUUUGCAGCACUUCAAGAGAUUCCUAACUUAGUACGUGAUGAUUUGCUGAGAGCCUACUGUAUCCUCACAAGCAAUGAUCGCAAGUUUGAAUCUCUUCUGGCACUUCCAAUGGACAUGAGGAAGGAUUGGUUGUUGAUGGAGAUUGGAGAGAAGUGAAGCUCAGCCGAUUUCCAUCGUUAUGCCAGAUUUAUCAUUAGGCUCGUUAGUGUUGUUUAAACAUGGAAUUUUGUUCCUCAACUGCCAGCUUUUUAAUUGGAACGAACACAUUGUGUACAUUUUGUUCAAGCGGAGGUCAGGAGCGGAUUGAUGGUUCAUAUAUACUGUGAGGCUUUACAUGAAGCAUUUGGAGAAAACAAAAUAUUGCAGAAGUUGAACAUCCUUAAAAGGUUUAGGUUAAAGUAAGUGAAAGUUAAGGAAAACUUCUUUCUUCUACAUAUAUAUGUGAACGAUGGUGAAUGAUUUCCUAUUAGAAACGGAUAGUUAUCUUCCGAGAACAUUAUGUUACA